UACGAAGGGGGCGAGCGUUGUUCGGAAUGACUGGGCGUAAAGGGCGCGUAGGCGGAUGGCACAGUCAGAUGUGAAAUUCCCGGGCUUAACCUGGGGGCUGCAUUUGAUACGUGUUGUCUUGAGUUCGGAAGAGGGUCGUGGAAUUCCCAGUGUAGAGGUGAAAUUCGUAGAUAUUGGGAAGAACACCGGUGGCGAAGGCGGCGACCUGGUCCGACACUGACGCUGAGGCGCGAAAGCGUGGGGAGCAAACAGG
rnacentral:rRNA from 1 species